rnacentral:rRNA from 1 species
CGGGGGGAACGCGAAGAACCUUACCUAAGCUUGACAUCCCACUGACCUCUCCCUAAUCGGAGAUUUCCCUUCGGGGACAGUGGUGACAGGUGGUGCAUGGUUGUCGUCAGCUCGUGUCGUGAGAUGUUGGGUUAAGUCCCGCAACGAGCGCAACCCUUGCCUUUAGUUGCCAGCAUUAAGUUGGGCACUCUAGAGGGACUGCCAGGGAUAACCUGGAGGAAGGUGGGGAUGACGUCAAAUCAUCAUGCCCCUUAUGCUUAGGGCUACACACGUGCUACAAUGGGUGGUACAGAGGGCAGCCAAGUCGUGAGGCGGAGCUAAUCCCUUAAAGCCAUUCUCAGUUCGGAUUGUAGGCUGAAACUCGCCUACAUGAAGCUGGAGUUACUAGUAAUCGCAGAUCAGAAUGCUGCGGUGAAUGCGUUCCCGGGUCUUGUACACACCGA